rnacentral:rRNA from 1 species
CGCAUCUGUGCAUGCAGCAUAUCAAUAAGCGGAGGAAAAGAAACUAACAAGGAUUCCCCUAGUAACGGCGAGUGAAGCGGGAAGAGCUCAAAUUUGAAAUCUUAAAGGGUUUCCCUUUACGAAUUGUAGUUUAAAGAAGUGUUUUCUGUUGAGGUUUUGGUAAAAGUUCUUUGGAAUAGGACAUCAUAGAGGGUGAGAAUCCCGUAUUUGACCUUUACUUUCAACUUUGUGAUACACUUUCAAAGAGUCGGAUUGUUUGGGAAUGCAGUCCAAAAUGGGUGGUAAAUUUCAUCUAAAGCUAAAUAUUGGCGAGAGACCGAUAGCGAACAAGUACCGUGAGGGAAAGAUGAAAAGAACUUUGAAAAGAGAGUUAAACAGUACGUGAAAUUGUCAAAAGGGAAGCGUUUGACACCAGUGUUGUUUUUCUGAAAAUCAAUUAAAGAACUGUUUAUGCUAAGUUGUUUAGACUUUAUCAGCUAACUGUUUAGUUUUGAGCUUUUCUUUAAUGCACUUUUCAGUUAACAAGUCAACAUCAAUUUCUUUUGCUGUAAAAAAGCUUGAGGAAGGUGGCUUGAGAUUCGUCUUAAGUGUUUAUAGCCUCUUGCCUAUGCAGUCGGAGAGAUUGAGGUCUGCAGCGUAGAUCCUUCGGGGCUAAAUGCAUUUGUGCUAAGUUAUAGCAUUUCAUAGACAACUUGUUGACUAUGAUUUGUCUUGUAGCUUACUCGCUUAUGUUAUUUUACCUACGCUUAGGAUGUUGACAGCAGUAUAGACUGU